rnacentral:rRNA from 1 species
UACGGAGGGCUCAAGCGUUGUUCGGAUUCAUUGGGCGUAAAGGGCGCGUAGGUGGCCAGGUAAGUUCGGUGUGAAAGCUCGGAGCUUAACUCCGAAAUGGCAUUGAAUACUAUCUGGCUAGAGGGUCGGAGGGGAGACUGGAAUUCUCGGUGUAGCAGUGAAAUGCGUAGAUAUCGAGAGGAACACCAGUGGCGAAGGCGAGUCUCUGGACGACUCCUGACACUGAGGCACGAAAGCCAGGGGAGCAAACAGG